UACGUAGGGGGCAAGCGUUGUCCGGAAUUAUUGGGCGUAAAGCGCGCGCAGGCGGUUUUUUAAGUCUGGUGUUUAAGCCCGAGGCUCAACCUCGGUUCGCACCGGAAACUGGAAGACUUGAGUGCAGGAGAGGAAAGCGGAAUUCCACGUGUAGCGGUGAAAUGCGUAGAGAUGUGGAGGAACACCAGUGGCGAAGGCGGCUUUCUGGACUGUAACUGACGCUGAGGCGCGAAAGCGUGGGGAGCAAACAGG
rnacentral:rRNA from 1 species